rnacentral:rRNA from 1 species
UACGUAGGGUGCAAGCGUUGUCCGGAAUUAUUGGGCGUAAAGAGCUUGUAGGCGGUUUGUCGCGUCUGCUGUGAAAUUUCGGGGCUCAACCCUGAGCUUGCAGUGGGUACGGGCAGACUAGAGUGCGGUAGGGGAGACUGGAAUUCCUGGUGUAGCGGUGAAAUGCGUAGAUAUCAUGAGGAAGACCAGUGGCGAAGGCGGAUCUCUGGACAGUUCCUGACACUGAGGCACGAAGGCCAGGGGAGCAAACGGG